rnacentral:rRNA from 1 species
GACGAACGCUGGCGGCGUGCCUAAUACAUGCAAGUCGAACGGUAACGGGUCCUUCGGGAUGCCGACGAGUGGCGAACGGGUGAGUAAUAUAUCGGAACGUGCCCAGUGGUGGGGGAUAACUGCUCGAAAGAGCAGCUAAUACCGCAUACGACCUGAGGGUGAAAGGGGGGGAUCGCAAGACCUCUCGCUAUUGGAGCGGCCGAUAUCAGAUUAGCUAGUUGGUGGGGUAAAGGCCUACCAGGGCAACGAUCUGUAGUUGGUCUGAGAGGACGACCAGCCACACUGGGACUGAGACACGGCCCAGACUCCUACGGGAGGCAGCAGUGGGGAAUUUUGGACAAUGGGCGCAAGCCUGAUCCAGCAAUGCCGCGUGCAGGAAGAAGGCCUUCGGGUUGUAAACUGCUUUUGUCAGGGAAGAAAUCUUCUGGGCUAAUACCCCGGGAGGAUGACGGUACCUGAAGAAUAAGCACCGGCUAACUACGUGCCAGCCGCCGCCGUAA